rnacentral:RNase_P_RNA from 1 species
UUUUAGGCAAAUGCUGCAUAAGUAAGUUAUGUAGAGGAAAGUCCAUGCUCGCACAGUCUGAGAUGAUUGUAGUGUUCGUGCUUAGGGAAUCAAUAACCUAAGGUAGCAUAAGCUAACGGCUUCGAGGAGACCUUAAAUGGUUUUAGUAGAUUUAAAAGUGCCAUAGAGACGAGUCACUUUGGAAACGAAGUGAGUGGAACGCGGUAAACCCCACGAGCGAGAAACCCAAAUUUUGGUAGGGGAGCUUGAACCAAGGAACUAAACAAGGAGAGAGCCUGUAUAAGGAGAUAAAUAUUUGCCACUUUAUGAAAGUAAAGUACAGAACAUGGCUUAUU